rnacentral:tRNA from 1 species
UUUAUAUAGUAUAAAUAUUAUAAUUGAUUUCCAAUCAAAAGAUCUUUUUAAAAGUAUAAAUA